CGGGCGGGCGCAGGGCGCGGGCUCCGGCGCCGCCGCUGCGUCCUCCCCGGCCGCGGGCGAGCCGCUGCAGAGGGAGCGUCGCGCCGGGGCGGAGUGCGGGCUUGCGCGGCAAGUGCGCGCCGAGGUGAGUCACGAAAUGGAUUGGAGUGAACCGGAGACCCCGAAAACGGAAGCGCAGGGAGAAGGAAGAGGUGUUUGAAAAGCUUCUUCCAGACCAGCUGGUCUUGCUUCUGGAGCAUCUCUUGGAGCAGAAGACUCUGAGCCCCCGAACUCUGCAAAGCCUCCAGAGGACAUACCACCUCCAGGAUCAGGAUGCAGAGGUUCGCCAUCGGUGGUGUGAACUCAUUGUUAAGCACAAGUUCACGAAAGCCUACAAAAGUGUGGAGAGGUUCCUUCAGGAGGAUCAGGAAAGACCACAGCAAGAUUCUUUCAUUCGUCUCCUCCUAGCCUGGGGGACCAGGCUCGAACUGACCCUGGACAUCAAAGGAGGGAUUAUGUGGCUGCUAAAGCCAUCGGCCCACAGCCCUGUUCACAUCUUGGUGCUUCUCUUUCCCAGAGGCUGGUCCCAGCCAGGCACACACAAAAGGCAGAUUCUCGUAAACGCAGCCUCCCUCCCUGGAGGCUGCCUCCUGCCCUGGAUCUGGAGUGGAGCUGCUCUGAGAUUUUGAGUUCUUCUGCAGAGAUGAUUAAAUAUAUCCAAGAGACAUUGGAAAACCUGCUGAACAUUUUACAUUGGUCUGCUCAGCACAUGGCUGGAUGCGGAUAUUUCUAUAAUUCCAGAAAGUCACACAGCUCCUCUGUAUGAGACCAGUGGGCGCCAUUUAAAAGAACAGGAUGAGAAUCUAAGAUAUAUUAUUAAUAAAUGUAAUGGAUUUUUUU
rnacentral:lncRNA from 1 species